GCCCGGUUAGUACUUGCAUGGGAGACCGCCCCGGAAUACCGGGU
rnacentral:rRNA from 1 species